rnacentral:rRNA from 1 species
GACGAACGCUGGCGGCGUGCUUAACACAUGCAAGUCGAACGGAAAGGCCCUGCUUUUGUGGGGUGCUCGAGUGGCGAACGGGUGAGUAACACGUGAGUAACCUGCCCUUGACUUUGGGAUAACUUCAGGAAACUGGGGCUAAUACCGGAUAGGAGCUCCUGCUGCAUGGUGGGGGUUGGAAAGUUUCGGCGGUUGGGGAUGGACUCGCGGCUUAUCAGCUUGUUGGUGGGGUAGUGGCGUACCAAGGCUUUGACGGGUAGCCGGCCUGCGAGGGUGACCGGGCACAUUGGGACUGAGAUGCGGCGCAGACUGCUACGGGAGGGAGCAGUGGGGAAUAUUGCACAAUGGGGGGAAGCCUGAUGCAGCAGCGGCGCGUGCGGGAUGACGGCCGUCGGGGUGGAAACCGCUUUGGCCUGUGACGAAGCGUGAGUGACGGUAAUGGGUAAAGAAGCACCGGCUAACUACGUG